rnacentral:lncRNA from 1 species
CUUUACCAAAGCCCUGCCUGUGUUUGUGAUGAAAAUUAUUGGUUUGUUGAUAUUAGCCAACCUAACAGCCUGCCCUUUGUGGCUUCUCCUUGGGGCUGUGAUUAGAAUUCACAGUGACCCAAAGGUGGCUCAUCUCCAAGAAAAUCUUAACCUGGAAGGCUUUGUGUCCUAGCUAGGCCUGCCUCUGCUUAACUUCCCAUUCAGAAAAGAAACGCUCACCUAGAAUUGGGGUAGCUUUCUUUCUGAACAAGAAAUUGGGUGGAGCUAGGCCUAGCUAGGACACAAAGCCUUUCAGCUUAGGCCCUUUUCCCCAGGGGAACCACACUUCAGAGUCUGUAGGUGUCACUCCCACAGUGAAGAAGUAUGGGAUUUAUAGUCCACAGAAACUACAAAAAUAGUAUGCCUGCCUUCUAAACUAGCCUGCUGCCUUCAAAUGUGGCAAAGGACACAACCAAUGACUUAAAUUUCAGCUCAUGCAGAAUUUCAUGGCAAUACCCAGAUACAGCACUUCCAUUCAAAUACUGCACUUCAGAUGAAUCUGGAAUUCAAGAUGCCAAACCAAUGGAAUCAUUUGCCGUGGAUUUUGCUGGAGUUUACUACUUCAAACAGCAGUGCCAUGCCCUUGGAGUCUGGACCAAGAAGAGGACAAUCCUCAAGACUGCGGAUGGAGAACAGUGUGGCCCAAAACUGGAAAGAAGCUCCCCCACAUGCAAGAUAUGUGCUGUGCCACUCACUUGUAGCCCUUCUGCUAAGAGCUAUCAUGUCUGCACUGGAAGGAGUCUCAAAAACCAAGGCUGGAAUAGCUAGUAACUGCCAGGAUAGUCAGAGAAAAAUAAAGUUAUGGAAAAUGCCCUUCAUUUGUAUAAUUUAUACAGCUUAUAUACAUUUAGCUUUCUCCUUUGUAUAGGACAGACCACACAAAGGGUUGAAGUAGAUGUGAUUUAAAGCCAUUAUUAAAAUACAUGCUUAGAGUGACCACAUUUCUUUUCUUUAUUUUUAUAAUACAACUGUGGAUCAUGAUUGUGGUCUGGGAAAAGGUUUUUCAGCCAAUCCCCUCUCUGUUUUGUUGCUCAAAAUCCUAGGUUCAAAAUGGCUCUUUGCCCUCAUGCAAGAGCUUUUACAAUUCAGGCAAAUAACUCUGUGUGUGUGUGCGUGUGUGCGUGUGUGUGCGUGCGCGCGCUCCUGCCCUCCUGUUCUUUGUAAGGACAAAAUCAUGGCCAGUCAUUGUGUGUUGCUUAAUCACACUUGCUUAAAGCCACAAUUAACUGGACUCUUCACAAAUACUGAAAAAUGUCUUCUAAUGGCAACCUUCCCCUCUCAUAAGCGAGUAAUAAAUAAAUAAAUAACACGAAUUGCUUUCGCA